AAUGGCCUAAGGGCUGAACCAGCAAUUUGGAAGAACGGAUAGCGAAAGCUAAUUACAUAUUACUAUGUGAUAUCAACUUAGUUGAAUAAAGUUCUGAGUAGAUCUAGAUAAUGACUUAAUCUGCUCAUGUGUCUUGACCAAAGUACGUGCCAGCAGUCGCGGUAAGACGUUAAAGACUAGUGUUAUUCAUCGUUAGCAGGUUUAAAGGGUACUUAGACGGCAAAUCAAGCUAUAAAAAGGACUAAUUUGCUAGAGUUACUUGUGAAGGGGCUUGAAAGUACUGGUGGUGUAGAGAUAAAAUGUUAAUAUACCUUUUUUCAGUUGAAAAGUAAUGGCACUGGUAAAGGCGAAAGCAUCCCCUUAUGUGAUAACUGACGUUAAAGGACGAAGGCUUUGGGCCGCGAAUAGGAUUAGAUACCCUAGUAGUCAAAGGAGAGAAUUAUGAGUGUCAUAGAUUAGAAUAUAUUUUGAUCUAUAAAUGAAAGUGUAAGCACUCCACCUUAAGAGUAAUGUGGCAACACCGAAAUUGAAAUCAUUAGACCGUUUCUGAAACCAGUAGUGAAGUAUGUUGUUUAAUUUGAUGAUCCGCAAAAAACCUUACCACAACUUGCAUAUACUUACAUACGUUUGUAUACAAGCGUUGCACGGCUGUCUUAAGUUAGUGUCGUGAGAUCUUGAUUAGAUUCAUUAAAUUGACGUAAACCCUCGUUAUACUUUUAUGUAUAAUGGUUCACCGCUAUAUUGGAUGCGAUAAUAGGGAAUAAGACAAGUCAUCAUGGCCUGAAUGUUGU
rnacentral:rRNA from 1 species